rnacentral:rRNA from 1 species
GACGAACGCUGGCGGCGUGCUUAACACAUGCAAGUCGAACGGUGAAGCGCCUUCCUUUUUGGUGGGUGUGGAUGAGUGGCGAACGGGUGAGUAACUCGUGAGUAACCUGCCCCCUUCUUCUGGAUAACCGCAUGAAAGUGUGGCUAAUACGGGAUAUUCUGGGUCUGUCGCAUGAUGGGUCUGGGAAAGAUAUUGUUUCGGUGGGGGAUGGGCUCGCGGCCUAUCAGCUUGUUGGUGGGGUGAUGGCCUACCAAGGCGGUGACGGGUAGCCGGCCUGAGAGGGUGGACGGUCACACUGGGACUGAGACACGGCCCAGACUCCUACGGGAGGCAGCAGUGGGGAAUAUUGCACAAUGGGCGCAAGCCUGAUGCAGCGACGCCGCGUGAGGGAUGGAGGCCUUCAGGUUGUGAACCUCUUUCGCCAGUGAAGCAGGCCUGCCUCGUUUGUGGGUGGGUUGACGGUAGCUGGAUAAGAAGCGCCGGCUAACUACGUG